rnacentral:rRNA from 1 species
UACGAAGGGGGGCUAGCGUUGUUCGGAAUUACUGGGCGUAAAGCGCGCGCAGGCGGUCUUCCAAGUCAGUGGUGAAAGCCCGGAGCUCAACUCCGGAACUGCCAUUGAAACUGUGAGACUUGAGUACGAGAGAGGUGAGUGGAAUUCCCAGUGUAGAGGUGAAAUUCGUAGAUAUUGGGAAGAACACCGGUGGCGAAGGCGGCUCACUGGCUCGUAACUGACGCUCAGGCGCGACAGC